rnacentral:rRNA from 1 species
UGGAUCAUCUACCUCUUAGUGGGGAAUAACCCCUGGGAAACCGGGGAUAAUACCGCAUAAGUCCUUCGGGAGAAAGCAGCAAUGCGCUGAGAGAGGAGUCCGCGGCCGAUUAGCUAGUUGGCAGGGUAAAAGCCUACCAAGGCAUCGAUCGGUAGCCGGCCUGAGAGGGCACACGGCCACACUGGCACUGAAACACGGGCCAGACUCCGUACGGGAGGCAG